rnacentral:rRNA from 1 species
CGGAUGAACGCUAGCGGAGGCUUAACACAUGCAAGUCGAGGGGCAUCACGAGGUAGCAAUACUUUGGUGGCGACCGGCGUACGGGUGCGUAACACGUAUGCAACCUUCCUGUAAGUGUGGGAUAGCCUCCUGAAAGGGAGAUUAAUACCUCGUGAUAUGUAUUUGCUGCAUGGCAUUUACAUUAAACAUUUAUGGCUUACAGAUGGGCAUGCGUUCCAUUAGGCAGUUGGUGUGGUAACGGCUCACCAAACCUACGAUGGAUAGGGGUUCUGAGAGGAAGGUCCCCCACACUGGAACUGAGACACGGUCCAGACUCCUACGGGAGGCAGCAGUGGGGAAUUUUGGACAAUGGGCGAAAGCCUGAUCCAGCCAUGCCGCGUGCAGGAAGAAGGCCUUCGGGUUGUAAACUGCUUUAGUCUAGGAAAAAGGGGUGCGAGGUUAAUACCCUCGUGCUUUGAUGGUACUGGAAGAAUAAGCACCGGCUAACUACGUG